UGCAGUCGAGCGGAAGAAGGGAGCUUGCUCCCGGAUGUUAGCGGCGGACGGGUGAGUAACACGUGGGUAACCUGCCUGUAAGACUGGGAUAACUCCGGGAAACCGGAGCUAAUACCGGAUAGUUCCUUGAACCGCAUGGUUCAAGGAUGAAAGACGGUUUCGGCUGUCACUUACAGAUGGACCCGCGGCGCAUUAGCUAGUUGGUGAGGUAACGGCUCACCAAGGCGACGAUGCGUAGCCGACCUGAGAGGGUGAUCGGCCACACUGGGACUGAGACACGGCCCAGACUCCUACGGGAGGCAGCAGUAGGGAAUCUUCCGCAAUGGACGAAAGUCUGACGGAGCAACGCCGCGUGAGUGAUGAAGGUUUUCGGAUCGUAAAGCUCUGUUGUUAGGGAAGAACAAGUGCAAGAGUAACUGCUUGCACCUUGACGGUACCUAACCAGAAAGCCACGGCUAACUACGUGCCAGCAGCCGCGGUAAUACGUAGGUGGCAAGCGUUGUCCGGAAUUAUUGGGCGUAAAGGGCUCGCAGGCGGUUUCUUAAGUCUGAUGUGAAAGCCCCCGGCUCAACCGGGGAGGGUCAUUGGAAA
rnacentral:rRNA from 1 species